GCUGGGGUGGCGGAAUGGUAUACGCACGGGACUUAAGAUCCCGGGUCUGCAAGGACGUGCGAGUUCGACUCUCGCCCCCAGCA
rnacentral:tRNA from 1 species